AACGUAGGAGGCGAGCGUUAUCCGGAUUUACUGGGCGUAAAGCGCACGCAGGCGGCUCUGUGAGUCGGACGUGAAAGCUCUCGGCUUAACCGGGAGAGGCCGUUCGAUACUGCGGGGCUUGAGGUAGGGAGAGGAAUGCGGAAUUCCCGGUGUAGUGGUGGAAUGCGUAGAUAUCGGGAGGAACACCUGUGGCGAAAGCGGCAUUCUGGCCCUCACCUGACGCUGAGGUGCGAAAGCGUGGGUAGCAAACAGG
rnacentral:rRNA from 1 species